UGGCGGCGUGCUUAACACGAUGCAAGGUCGAACGGGGAUUAAGUUGGAAAGGCUUCGGCCCGGAAGACAUAAUUCGAGUGGCGGACGGGUGAGUAACGCGUGAGCAACCUGUCCCAGACAGGGGGAUAACACUUGGAAACAGGUGCUAAUACCGCAUAAGACCACGGCAUCACAUGGUGCAGAGGUAAAAGGAGCAAUCCGGUUUGGGGUGGGCUCGCGUCCGAUUAGAUAGUUGGUGAGGUAACGGCCCACCCAAGUCAACGAUCGGUAGCCGACCUGAGAGGGUGAUCGGCCACAUUGGAACUGAGAGACGGUCCAAACUCCUACGGGAGGCAGCAGUGGGGAAUAUUGGGCAAUGGGCGAAAGCCUGGCCCAGCAACGCCGCGUGAGUGAAGAAGGCCUUCGGGUUGUAAAGCUCUGUUAUGUGGGACGAAGGGAGUGACGGUACCACAUAAGGAAGCCCCGGCUAACUACGUGCCAGCCGCCGC
rnacentral:rRNA from 1 species